UCAUCUUACACAGAAGUAAAGUCUAAAAGAGCUUGUGGUUUGACCUUCCAUAAUAUGUACAGAUCUGCCAUGUUGAUGCUGUUCUUACCAGCUGCAGAGCUCAGAUGAUGGCGGCAAAGACAAGGGGGAGAGGGCUCUUCUGAGUACAGCUGUCCAGAAAUCAUGGAGAGCAGGACCGAGAGGUGGGGUCGAAAACUUCUCAUUUCACAAGGAUUAUCCCUGAACCGUUUCUGCUAAUGCCUGAUCUAACUGUCUGAAUGUCAUCCCCAAAUGUAUCUCAUCACUGUUGUCUGUUUUACUUUCUGUGAGUGAGCAUCAGCUAUUGACUUUACUACCUUUGCAAUGGAAAGUGGAUCUACCCCUCAAGGUUAUGGAACUUGUGCAUGAAGCAAAUCCUACCUAUUCCAAGGCCACAGAGGACCACAACAUAAUUUAAUCUAUGAACUUGUACCACUAGGUGGUAGAAGGACCUACGCCUAAGUACAGACAGUCAAAAAGCCCAAGGCUGAGUUGAUUCAGUCUUCACAGGUUAACCUAAAUUGCAAAGAUUGAACCAAUAAGCAAAUGAACAGACAUUCACUUGUGAGUCAGGAACUGCAGCCACAUGCCUGCAGUGGCUCAAGUCAGCAGCUGGGGGGCACUAGAGCACAGCUCUCUGGCACAUAGCCACUAUGGGCUGUGUGUUCACUUCCUCCUUCUGCUGCCCCUGAGGUGUGUGGGAUUUUCAGUCCACAAUCACAGCAGCAGGACUCCCCAGGAUUGUUCAUCACUUCUUCUUCCUGCUUCCAGGUACUUCUAGGAUUUCUAGUCCACAGUCACAGCCGGCACUAAAUAAGCCAGCAAGGUAGGGCAGCUCUGUACUUGGGGGGAGGUGAGUUUAACUCCCCCUCCCUGGCCCCAGACCCCAGCUGGGGUUUGCCCAGGGGCAGUGAACCAGCCAGUGAGCCAACCAUCACCGCUUCAGCUAGGGAGCAGAGGGAUGGGUUGAGUUGUGCUCUCUGGAACAGCACAGUCCAGCCCAGCCCAGGGCUUAAAAGCAUGCUGGAAGACUGAUUUAAUUUGAACCAGGAAGGGGUUUGGGACAGAAGUUUCAUAAACCGGUUUGACCCAAAUCAGCUAAAUCUGAUGCUACAUUGGACCAGGUUUAUCUGAAACCAGUUUCACCCAUUUUGAAACUGGUUUGUGUUCACUGAACUUCUGUUCUGUUACAGGUUUAAAUCAGUUUCUGAUCACUUAAACCAGUUUAUGUGUAUCAUCUGUCCCUAGCCCAGCAGUCCCCACACUGUGCUUAGCACCCAUUGUAGAGCCCAAUGCUAUGCUUACUGCCCAGAAAAUACACAUGCAGUGAGACAGGUUUUGACACUGGGCUUAGGCUGGCUUACUAUGCAAGUCCAUUGCUAUUGUCCACAAAAUAAUCCUGCAAGAGCAGCACAGAAAAUGGCAGCCUUAGAACUGCAAAGGAGCCAUGGAGUGGUUUUACUGGCAUUGUGUGGAUGAGUGGUCUUAUUGGAUUGGAUGACCUACCCAAGUAAGGACCAGUGGUGACGUGCACCCCCUGACAGCAGCAGUCCCCACUUAGGCGAUGAGCAGGGGGGGCUGGCGAGAGCACCGGCUGGGGAGUGGGGGCACUAGGAGAAACAAUCCCCAUGGUCCCUCCAUGGAUGAUUGCACCUAUGGGGGGGGGAGUUUCCCCUGCAGCUGAUCGCACUGGCACUCCUGCAUCAGUGUGAUCAGCCACAGGGGGACCCCCUCCCACCCCCGGUCACUGACUGGCCUCUGCGGGGGGCAAGUGCAACUCAGGAGGCACCAGUCACCCAUGGUAAGGACUGUCAUUUUUUUCUUAAGUGCUUUUUCCUAGAAUACGAUUUUUUCCAAGCCUUUCACUUUCUUAAUUGUCCAUGGGACUGCAGUGAGAUGCACAUUAGAAACUCAAGCUAUGGCAAACAAAAUUCUACAGAAUUACAGACCAAAGUGAAGGCCCAUCCCCCAGCCACUGGACAAGAUGGUGAGUUACGCUGACCUCUUCUGAAAAUACAGAUGGUAAUGUGAGAACAAGGCAUCUUUUGGCAUACCAGAUAUUACUGUCUUGGGUGUGAGACAAGGUUUUGGGAGACCUGAGAUGCAACCUGAAUUCUGAAACUGAUUUACUGACAAAUGUACUGUGCUGGAUCAUCUCUACUUCACCCAUAGCUUUUCCUCAGCCAGUAUUUAGACAGUGAACUGAGGUCACAUCAGUAGACAGAUAGAAGUCAGUGGAGAUCCAGGGUUAACGUAGCCUAAUGUCAGCAUGUGGCUUGUUAGCUUCAGUAAGCUAGGGAUCUUAUGUCUGCAUUAAAGAAUGAUUCAUUUGAAAAGAAUGUGAGUAUCAAAAUGCACACAGAUCUCCAGCUACUCAUAACUUGUAGUGGACUAUCCGUUUCUUGCUGAUACAAAUUUCCACACGCUAGGGGAAAGUGCCUCUUUCAUGCAUCACUUUGCACUGGAUUGUGUCCAGUUACUUUACUUACCAUUAUGCAACUUAACCCAAGGCAACCCAACACCCGAAGACAAAAUUAGAAUUGCAUAAAUAUAUUUGCACAGUUUCUUCACUGUCCAUAACAAUAUUCAUUUGACUCUCCAACCCAAGAUGAACUGUAGGGCACCAAUUAAAUUAUUGGAGAUGAUUAACAAUGUUUAUUUUUUCUGAAUUAAUCCUAAACAUUCUGAUAACUGCUAGUCUCAAUUACUGACUUAGAUGGAAGCACUACAGUUCAAAAUAUAACAUGUAUCAUCAUGGAAAAUUAAUAUAUUCUGAGGUCAUAGAUCAGUCUUUACUCAUACAAAAUCCCAAUGACUUCCACGGAGAGCUUUACCUCAGUGAGGAAUUAUUAAGGCUGUAGAAUUCACUAAUAUUAAUAUAGGGCCAUAUUCUCUCCGUAAUAGUAAUUAUGCUUGAAUUAAAACAAGUAUUUGGCCUAGCCUUACCAAUUAUACACCACUUUUCAUUUCUAGCACUCUCUAACAUUAACUGACAACUGCUUAUAUCAUUUCAUUAUCCCCAGUCUAUGUAUUGGGAAAGAGAAGUUGAGAAACACUUUCUCACACAGAACAGACCCCUAGUCUAUGAGUAGAACUAUUUGCUUUAUUGGAACUAUUUGUAGAGCAAUAUUCAACAUGAGUGAGGAUGGUCACAAUCUAUCCCUUAAGCUCUUAGGCCUACCAUUUUCUUAUACAUGUGUACAGCACCUAGCACAAUAUGGCCCCAAUCUCAGAUUGGGACCUUAAGGUCCCUGUCCUGCUUUCACAAUACAUAUAGUAAGUAACAAUUACCCAGAGCACCGAGAGGUUCAGGAACAGAUUCAGAAUUAGAACUCAUGAUCUCCUGUCCUACAUUUUGUGUAUGCUUUUUCAUAAGUAUAAAUUAUUUGACCAUAUUAACUUUAUUGGAUAAAAUUCAUUUAACUGCUCUAAAGACAAGGGUAACAGAACUCAGCACCCAGUGCUUAUGCUGUACUACACAUUUACUAUAUGUCAUUGUCUGUACAUAUAUACAGUUACAUAUCUACUAUGCAUUUUAACUAAUAACAAUACUUAGAUGGCUAGUAUCAUGGGAGCUGAGUAUCGGGAGUAAUUUAUGGAUCCUAAGAGCAAUAUAAACACUGUUCAAUUUUAAACUAAAAUAGUGGAGGAAUAGGAAAGGGUUCACUUUAUACUCAUAAUCAGCAGCUUUCUGUUCUUGGAUCCAGUUUAAGUGGAUGCAUAAUGCUCAUUAUAUCAUAUUUUAAUAGAAAACAUUUCUUUCAAGGACAGUAGGCCAGAUUCUGUUGGCACUGAAGUCAAUGGGAAUUUUGCCACUGACUUCAUUGGAAACAGGAAGAGUAAAGCAGACAUUUGUAAAUGUCAUAUGUUUGUGCCUAUAAUUCAUAAGUGUUUGCCCUGCUUGGAAGACUAAAUCCUGCUGCAGCCAGUGUUCCCUGUAAGAAGCAAAGGAAUUUCCCUGGCUCAGGUCUGGGGACAGUGUGGAGACUGUGUACGGUUUUCAUGCCAUAUGGGAAGAUCAUUUCACUCUGCAAUCUCAUCUCUCCUAUGGCCAAUACAGAAGUGACAGCAUUGGGCUCUGAAGGAGUUGUGUUCAGCCUUCCUCACCCAAAGUGAUAUGCCACAUAAAUCUGGAGGUAAAGGAGUAAAGAGGGAGGAAUGGUGGUAUAGAAGAUCUCAGAUGGGCUAUGGGGAUGCCCAAAAGUAAGAUGCAAUAUGAUUUUAAUUGGUUUCAUUUACACCACAAAGCUAUGUCUGGUAAAAUGGAGCAAUUAAUCUCAGUGAUAAAUAACUGAUUAUAAUCAGUUUCUAUAAAAGAACAGAGUUCUAGCCACUCUUGCCCUAUAAAAAGAUAAACAACAAAAGCCGUAAUGAAAGAUCUGACACUGCUAAAAGAAGCCCGCUGACCUGACCUGCAUUUCAGUGAAGAAGGAGAAAAUCCUUUCCAAGUAUCAUUCACUUCGGAGGAUAAUUUGUUGUAUGUAGUUCAGCUGGAGAGGAUUUAAAUUUUAACAUCUAGUUAAGAGGCUGCAUCCUCAAUGACAAAUGUAUAUAUUUUAUGAGACUAGAAGGUAAUGAGGAAUAGUGUAAACAUGUCUACAGGCAUUUGUACACAUGCUUGCGCCGCAGUGCCAGGGGCUUUUAAAAGUACCUGGCACUGCAGCACAUACAUUUAUAUAAAUGGUGAAAUUCACAUCAGUGCUGAGAAAAUGGCAGCACUGCAUGUUUUAACUAAAACACACUGAAGGUGUUUUAGUUCAAAAACACACUGCUGCUGUUUUCUGCACACUGAUGUGUAUUUUGCCACUUAGACAACCGCACACAAUGCAGCACAGUGCACGUCAGCUCAUGUGCUGAGCAGACUUGAUUAAUCAAGACUUGAUUAAUCAAGUCUGCUCUGAUACGUCAGAUCUCUGGCACAUUGCAGCACAAAAAAGGUAUGUGUACAAAUGCUGUACGUUCAAUUAAUGCACUUUAGGUAAUGCACAUUAAAUCUAGUACCUCCAUUGUGAGGUACUAGAAAAAUGUGCAUUAGCCUAUUUUAAUGUGCAUUAGCUAAAGAGCACAGUUUGUGACACUUCAAUGUGCAUUAAAGUAGGCUAAAUGCACAUUAAAGCACGCUUGUAAAUGCAACCACUGUUGACAAGCCAUGCUUUUGCCUUACCUAAACAGACUUUGUUUUAGUGCUAUCACAGUUGUUAAUUAAAUUAUAGGAAUUUUGGAGUUUUGUUUCUCUUAAACAUGACAGUUAAGAGCAGGAUUUUACAGUCCUUACUCCCUGAACUCCAGUUCUCCUCUUAUCAAAAUUCUUUUUAGAUGCUUGCCAAUUCAGACCUCACAUUUUCUGUGGUUGUAGAACUAACGGUAGAGUUCACCAGACUGCAGAGCUUGUUAGCAGAAGCAAAGCUUUCAUUUACAAAAAUUAAAGAGUGAAAUUCUGUCCCUACUUAAGUCAAUGGCAAAACUACCAUUGUCUUUAGCAGGAUUAGGGUUUCACCACAAGUUCUAGUGACUGUAGAGAAAGCUUUCUGAAUUUGCAUCCAAUAUAAACUGAUGCAGUUUCUAGGCCAGCAGCCUGAAACAAAAGCUAUGUAGUAAGGUCAACAUUUUCAAAAGUAGCCAGAUUUAGGGUCCCUGCAUUUUGGGAUGCCUGAUCUGAGAAUCCUUGAGAGGGUUGAGUCACCCAACUGUAACUAAAGUCAAAGAGUUAGCAUGGUCAGUUGUUAAAAGGUGAAAUUAAGUCAAAAGUAUUGGUUCUGCAGGAGAAACAACAUUGACUUUAGUUGCAGAUCAAAAGGUUCACCUAACAAAAUACCUACAAAAAGGAAUGUGGUUUAUUUAUUUGGUUAUAACUCUUAUGAACAAAAUAUGGAACUGUCCAGGAGCACAACUAAUACAGAUAUAUGUGCAUUUCCCUUGAA